rnacentral:rRNA from 1 species
UUAAGCGACUAAGCGUACACGGUGGAUGCCCUGGCAGUCAGAGGCGAUGAAGGACGUGCUAAUCUGCGAUAAGCGUCGGUGAGGUGAUAUGAACCGUUAUAACCGGCGAUUUCCGAAUGGGGAAACCCAGUGUGUUUCGACACACUAUCAUUAACUGAAUCCAUAGGUUAAUGAGGCGAACCGGGGGAACUGAAACAUCUAAGUACCCCGAGGAAAAGAAAUCAACCGAGAUUCCCCCAGUAGCGGCGAGCGAACGGGGAGGAGCCCAGAGCCUGAAUCAGUGUGUGUGUUAGUGGAAGCGUCUGGAAAGGCGCGCGAUACAGGGUGACAGCCCCGUACACAAAAAUGCACAUAUUGUGAGCUCGAUGAGUAGGGCGGGACACGUGGUAUCCUGUCUGAAUAUGGGGGGACCAUCCUCCAAGGCUAAAUACUCCUGACUGACCGAUAGUGAACCAGUACCGUGAGGGAAAGGCGAAAAGAACCCCGGCGAGGGGAGUGAAAAAGAACCUGAAACCGUGUACGUACAAGCAGUGGGAGCCUCUUAAUGGGGUGACUGCGUACCUUUUGUAUAAUGGGUCAGCGACUUAUAUUCUGUAGCAAGGUUAACCGAAUAGGGGAGCCGAAGGGAAACCGAGUCUUAACUGGGCGUUAAGUUGCAGGGUAUAGACCCGAAACCCGGUGAUCUAGCCAUGGGCAGGUUGAAGGUUGGGUAACACUAACUGGAGGACCGAACCGACUAAUGUUGAAAAAUUAGCGGAUGACUUGUGGCUGGGGGUGAAAGGCCAAUCAAACCGGGAGAUAGCUGGUUCUCCCCGAAAGCUAUUUAGGUAGCGCCUCGUGAAUUCAUCUCCGGGGGUAGAGCACUGUUUCGGCAAGGGGGUCAUCCCGACUUACCAACCCGAUGCAAACUGCGAAUACCGGAGAAUGUUAUCACGGGAGACACACGGCGGGUGCUAACGUCCGUCGUGAAGAGGGAAACAACCCAGACCGCCAGCUAAGGUCCCAAAGUCAUGGUUAAGUGGGAAACGAUGUGGGAAGGCCCAGACAGCCAGGAUGUUGGCUUAGAAGCAGCCAUCAUUUAAAGAAAGCGUAAUAGCUCACUGGUCGAGUCGGCCUGCGCGGAAGAUGUAACGGGGCUAAACCAUGCACCGAAGCUGCGGCAGCGACACUAUGUGUUGUUGGGUAGGGGAGCGUUCUGUAAGCCUGUGAAGGUGGCCUGUGAGGGUUGCUGGAGGUAUCAGAAGUGCGAAUGCUGACAUAAGUAACGAUAAAGCGGGUGAAAAGCCCGCUCGCCGGAAGACCAAGGGUUCCUGUCCAACGUUAAUCGGGGCAGGGUGAGUCGACCCCUAAGGCGAGGCCGAAAGGCGUAGUCGAUGGGAAACAGGUUAAUAUUCCUGUACUUGGUGUUACUGCGAAGGGGGGACGGAGAAGGCUAUGUUGGCCGGGCGACGGUUGUCCCGGUUUAAGCGUGUAGGCUGGUUUUCCAGGCAAAUCCGGAAAACCAAGGCUGAGGCGUGAUGACGAGGCACUACGGUGCUGAAGUGACAAAUGCCCUGCUUCCAGGAAAAGCCUCUAAGCAUCAGGUAACAUCAAAUCGUACCCCAAACCGACACAGGUGGUCAGGUAGAGAAUACCAAGGCGCUUGAGAGAACUCGGGUGAAGGAACUAGGCAAAAUGGUGCCGUAACUUCGGGAGAAGGCACGCUGAUAUGUAGGUGAAGCGACUUGCUCGUGGAGCUGAAAUCAGUCGAAGAUACCAGCUGGCUGCAACUGUUUAUUAAAAACACAGCACUGUGCAAACACGAAAGUGGACGUAUACGGUGUGACGCCUGCCCGGUGCCGGAAGGUUAAUUGAUGGGGUUAGCGGUAACGCGAAGCUCUUGAUCGAAGCCCCGGUAAACGGCGGCCGUAACUAUAACGGUCCUAAGGUAGCGAAAUUCCUUGUCGGGU